rnacentral:lncRNA from 1 species
CGCCGGCAGCGCCCCUGCCUCUGCUACCCCUCUGCUUUAGUUGGGCUAGAGAGAGGAGGAAGAUGACGACUCGCCAGGCCCCCACCUGCGCGCGGCCCCCACCGGUCAGCCUCACCACGCGUUGACCCCUCCCUUGCCACGUGGUAAGUGGAAGCGUAUUCCUUUGAAUACGUCUUCCCUUGUCCGAAAACGUACUCAUGCAUUGCUUCAGACAGAAAUGUGUUUUCUCUUCUAGAAGGUGUAUUACUCUCUAUUGCGGUCAACAAUGCGCUUUCUCAGUUCCGAAACCGUAUUUUCUGAAAUACGUUUUCUGUUUUUCAGCCCAGGGACCCAUUUGGUGAUAAAUUCUUCACAGAUAGGUCCCUGAUCUUCAUCACUUCAUAACUCCGCAACCGUAACUCCGAUUGAGGUGAUUCCAACGCUCACGUUCUCUGUUUGUCGAGCUUUUUCCGUUGGUAUCAUUUUCAUAAUAUUUUCACAUAGUGAAAAUGACCUCUUUGCCCUUGCACGUAAACAGCCCCCUCCGAGAGAGAACUGUUUCCGGCAAAUCUUUCCGCGAUCAUUCCGCACUUCUUCCCGAAGUAUUUGUCAACCCCCAGGCAAGCCAACCUCUUAUCAUGAGCCCCGAACUUGCAUGUUGACUUUGCUUGCACCUCGUGUGUGUGUGUUUAGUUGCAUUAGUUUCUUGGUUGUUCCGUCUAUUGUUAUUUCAGUCGUGCUAUAUGUUUUUGUUAUGUGCCAUGCAUGCUUGUGUUCUCAUGAAAUAAAUUGACAUGCUAGCUAGAUGUUGUUACUGAUAAUAUCAUGCCUCUGUCUAAUUUAAUGUUAGUAGUAUCAAUGUUAUAAUGAUUCUGUUGCACUAGUGGUAUUACGAGUACUUGGUAUUGCCAUGUUUCGCAUGCUAUCAUUGUUCACUUGAAAAGCCCGAUGUUUUGUUACUGCAUCUGUAUGUUGUAUGUUAGUUGUUGCAUUCAUGUUAUAAUGCUCGCGUGAUGGUGGGUGAUGGAGAAGUUAAUAAUAUGACUUAAUAACCAACCUCCUUCGUCAUCGAUGGGAUCGAGUCAUAGUGCCACCAAAUCGAGCUUUCUCCAGUGCAACCACAUUUACCUUUAUGCGAGGUCCUAGCUGGGUAUAUUGUCAUGCCUCUCGCUUGUUCCUCCAACGAGGGAAGGUUAUGGGUGCACGCUACCCUGAUUAGGUAGGCGGACAUGAACCUUGUGAGCCCGAGUUGUUUUGCGCGCUUUGUCCCCGUUUGGGACCGUUUUUGUUUUGCCACGGAGGUGGUCGUUGGUGUCUUUGGUAGGCACGGGGCCACCCAGGACUGAACCCCAAGGGGGUGUUGGUGAGAGUGGCCGGGAGAGUGUCAUGGCGGUAGGUCGGUUUUGUUGGAACGUUGUUGGUCCACACGUAUGGGAGUGCGAGGCCAUGGGUUCCGUGGUGUGGGUAAAGUGCGCUACCUCUUCAGAGUGUGUGUGUUAAAUCUAUUGAUAGCCGCGUCCUCGGUCAUGGGCACAAGUUCGUAACAUGUCACACUAUCAGGUCUUGGUCGAAAUGGAGGAUAAACCUGAAAUAACUAAGUUGAUGAAUUAUGUGAAAUGAAAUAACGUGAUGACUUGGACUAUGAGAUAGUCGCGAGUAAUCACGGUGAUGUGUUCACGAGACGAGGUCUCGGUGAGAGUCGAACCAAGUAUGGCUCCGUUUAUGAUCCGUGAAGGAUCAUCGCUUGGUUACGAGGUAAUCCAUUGGUAAGAGAGUCCGAGGGACUCAGUGCAGAACUUUGGUUGCAUUGCAUGAGUAGUAAGUUGUUAUUUGCAUUUAAAGAACCAUGGUAGAACAGGCGAUGUUUGCAUAAGGUUAACAUGUUGUGUUUGCAUUGGAUAUGAUUGGUAGUUUAUUUUCAGCAUAGUUUCAUGAUGCCAUGCCAUGUCUUGAUUGAAUUUAUGCUAUGUUUAGAUUAUGUCAUGUUAUGGUUGAAAUGAUGUGCUAUGUUUUGCCAUUGCCAUGUUAGAAGUAAGCUUGAUAAGCCAUGCUAUUGCCAUGCUAGUAGAUGCCACGAGGUUGUUCAUGCUUAGUUUGAUUUAUGAUUCUACCUAAUAUCAUGCCAUGCUUAGUUUCUGCUAUGAGAUAGGUUAUUGCAGACGCUUGGUUCUUUCUUUGUCAUCUGUUUGUUUGGGUGCUAUGUAUUUGGUUGUCUUGCAAGUACAUUCAAUGUACUAACCUGGCCUGUCAUGCCAGUUUUGUAGGUCGUGCCCAAGUUGUUCGCUUGUUACGUCGUGCUAGGCCGUAGACUUGCCAGUCCUAUGAGUUGUGGAGCCCAACCAGAGUUGUUAUGCUGCCAAACCAUUCCGUCGCCAUUUAAAUAGACUUCUGAUGCCAUUUAAAUAGCCUUAGGGCUAUGCCAGAUAAUUGUAUUCAUCGAUGAUGUAAUCAUAUACACAUGUAUUUGAUGAAUAUUAUUGUACCUGGAAUGUUGUAUCAUGGACCUGUCGUGCGUCAGGUGUUAUGC